rnacentral:rRNA from 1 species
AUUGAACGCUGGCGGCAUGCUUUACACAUGCAAGUCGAACGGUAACAGGUUAAGCUGACGAGUGGCGAACGGGUGAGUAAUGCAUCGGAACGUGCCCGAUCGUGGGGGAUAACGCAGCGAAAGCUGUGCUAAUACCGCAUACGAUCUGAGGAUGAAAGCGGGGGACCGUAAGGCCUCGCGCGAUCGGAGCGGCCGAUGUCAGAUUAGGUAGUUGGUGGGGUAAAGGCCCACCAAGCCGGCGAUCUGUAGCUGGUCUGAGAGGACGACCAGCCAAACUGGGACUGGGACACGGCCCAGACUCCUACGGGAGGCAGCAGUGGGGAAUUUUGGACAAUGGGCGAAAGCCUGAUCCAGCAAUGCCGCGUGCAGGAAGAAGGCCUUCGGGUUGUAAACUGCUUUUGUACGGAGCGAAAAGGUCCUUUCUAAUACAAGGGGCUCAUGACGGUACCGUAAGAAUAAGCACCGGCUAACUACGUGCCAGCCGCCGCGGUAA